rnacentral:rRNA from 1 species
UACGUAGGGUGCGAGCGUUAAUCGGAAUUACUGGGCGUAAAGCGUGCGCAGGCGGUUAUGUUAGACAGAGGUGAAAUCCCCGGGCUCAACCUGGGAACUGCCUUUGUGACUGCAUGCCUAGAGUACGGCAGAGGGGGAUGGAAUUCCGCGUGUAGCAGUGAAAUGCGUAGAUAUGCGGAUGAACACCGAUGGCGAAGGCAAUCCCCUGGGCCUGUAAUGAAGCUCAUGCGCGAAAGCGUGGGGAGCAAACAGG